UCUGUCUCCAAUCGACACCACGAGACAAACUGUCCCUUUACUUCUCACUCUACACUGUGUCCUUUCUUCUCUUCUCAGCUUAUUUCCCAAAGACCUAAGGCUCUAAUGCUUCUUUCUGCUCCCAGAAAAUGGAAACUCAAUGCCUGGGAAAAGCACAAGAAACAACUUCAGGCUAACUCUGGUCACUGCGGCUGCUCUUUGAGUUGCUCCUUCAGGACGCCAGUCUCUGUGGCUCUCCACACAUGCAGGGCACUGCUGGAGGAGGAUCAAAGAGCAGUCUGAAUCCCUAGUCUCUCCUGUCUAGACGCCAGAGACUGUCUCCAUACUCUUAGCACACAAGCUGGGAAAGCAAAGCCAAGUCCAUUCCUUCACAUGGCCCCAGCACUAAAGUUAAGUGAAGUACCUUUAUUCCUACAAACUUGUUUAAGGUGUUCAGUUUCUCCCUCCAGGGCCUUUUCCCAAACAUUCACAGUAUCGGUUUUCGGUCGGCUAAAACCACCUUAAAACAAACACACACAAACACACACAAGCUGCUCUCGCUACGGUAUGUAUGUCAUAGGAACAUCUGAAUUAACCUACAGUUUACAAUCCUCCUCCUGGUUAUUUUCCUCAGAAUGUGAAUCUGAAGUUUUUAAUUGCUUAGAGACCGAGGGAAAACAUACACUUCUCUUAUUGUUUAAUGAGUUUCGUUAGUGCCAUUAAUUCAGCACGUAUUGAGCUGAUGGAGUGACAAAUAGCUGAGAGAGCAGUGAAAGAUCACAUGCAAGCAGUGCAGGCCCAUUUAAACAGGACAAUACAAUCAUGUCAAAGAUGAACGAGGGGAUGAAACGAGAGAACAUGGGAGGGGAGAGAUAUCUAUGAACAGUGAGAACUACAGUUUAUCAUCUAUGGGACAUGUAAAUAAACAAAUAGAAAGAAUGAACAAAUGAAAUAACAAGGAGAGAAAUUAGGCAACACAAGAUUAGGGGGACAAAAUAGGGAGCUGAUUGUUGUGAAGAAUAGAGCUGGUAUGGAUGGACUGUUUAAUGAUAGACAGAUAAGAUGUCUUUACACUGUAAAAGUGACACAGAAGCAGCAGCUGACAUAAGAUACACACCUAAUGCACCUUGCAUAAGGUUUGCUUUGGAAACUAUAUGAAUUAUAAGAAGCACAAAUGCAAAAUGCAUCUGCUACUUUAUUCCCAUGCACUUAUAAGACACAAGACAUUGAUUAGGCUACUUCAAACAUUUGCAAUGUAAGUCAUCUUUGUUUAUACAGUAGAUUUGCAGCAUGGUAGUCAUAAACACUGUAUCUGUAUAAAAAGUUGUACAAUUCUCAG
ensembl:lncRNA